CUUUGAUGAAGGACUGAUGAACGAUGGCGUUGAAUACAGAAUGUAGCUCUCAUCUACAAGAGGCUGAAAUUCAUCAAGAAACAGCAGAGACAGAAAAAGACAAAAAGACUGAGCCUGGAGUAGCUGAAACUGGAUCAAAAUUGGA